GACGAACGCUGGCGGCGUGCUUAACACAUGCAAGUCGAACGAAGUGGCGAACGGGUGAGUAACGCGUAAUCAACCUGCCCUUCAGAGGGGGACAACAGUGGGAAACGACUGCUAAUACCGCAUACUGAAGGAGGGGAUUGCGUCUGAUUAGCUAGUUGGAGGGGUACAGGCCCUCCAAGGCGAGGGUCAGUAGCCGGUGCUAGAGGAGGAACCUGCAAAGGUGGACUGGGACACGGCCCAGACUCCUACGGGAUGGAGCAGGGGGGAAGCUUCCGCAAUGGACGGAAGUCUGACGGGGCAACUCCGCGUGGGUGAUGACGGCCUUCGGGUUGUAAAGCUCUGUUAAUCGGGACGCGGUACCGGAAUAGAAAGCCACGGCUAACUACGUGCCAGCAGCCGCGGUAAUAC
rnacentral:rRNA from 1 species